CCGGAAGCUAUGUCGUCUAAUGCCUCGUUUUAACAGUAAACUGGAAAAAAAUCGUCUGCCAGCAAUCCAGGGAUAUGAGUUCGUGAUACAAUUGUUCUCAAAGUGUGGUCCGUGGACCACUUGUGGGCCGCACGCAUAAGUUAGGUGGUCAGUGGCUGACAGUCCUCAUAUGUCAGCAAAGUGAAUUAGUCCAGUAUUAAUUUCACACGAGUUUUAAUUUUAUUGAUGCUCGUUCGCAUAAACCCCUCGCUUACCAGCUAAGUCGAUCUUUAUAUCACAGCGCGAGCGUUGUCAUUUAACCGUGUCAUCCGUUACCCUUAGUAACGCAGUGCACUUCCUUAUUUUUAAUUUUGUGUGAACUUUGAGAAGCAUGUAAUUUUAUGAAAACUUACUACUGUCACAAAAGUGCAUUUAGUUUUGAAUUGUAAUGAAACAAAUGCGGCAAUUUAAAUUUGAAAUUCACAUUACAGUGAUGUUACGCCUUGGUGAUCCGCCAUAAUUUUUGCUUUAGUGAAGCGGUCCGCGGUCGGAAAUACUUUCAGAACCACUGAUCUAUGCGAUAACCCGGUCGCGAAACGUGUGGACUUUAAUGGACACGUGUCUUUGGUUGAUGUAUGUCGCGCGUGCAUAUUACACAGUUUUGGAAAAAUCACACAUUAUACAGCCGUGUUUAUUUUAAUAGGCUGUAUAAGAAGCUAGUUAAACAUACCCAAGGCAAAUCCUUCGCUCACUCAGUUCGCCGCCAUUUUUUCCCAGAAACCUUCAGACGUUACUUGGAGUAGCGCCCCUUGAAUAACUGCGCUUAUGCUGUUGGACAAGUUUGAAAGAAAAAAAAACCAACCAACCCGCGACAUAUCAUUAUUUUUAAGAAGUGAUUUAACGAAUGAGGUAAUGCAUGUCAUGGGUCAUUUAUUUUUGUAGUUCAAAAGCGCACGAAUGGAAGCCUAACGACCAAGAUAGUCGUACUUGAAAAAGUCCUGGACUGUGUUUGAUUUAGCACUCCAUUAGACUACAUGAAAUUAUGUCGUUUCAACCAGCUUCUCGAAUUUUCAUAAAUUCUUAUCGAAGGCCCCUUCUUUACGGAGACAGUUUAUUAGACGAGGAGUACUGGCCAUUGUCGUGGAGGCUGGGUUUGGUUAGCUCCCGACUGAAUGAUCCAUCAGAGAGCCAAGGGGAAGACAACAGUAACGACUUCAUCCUUACCGUGAAUACCCAGCAUUUCAGACCCGAUGAGGUCAACAUAAAGAUCAAAGACAAGUGGAUUGUAAUCCAUGCUAAGCAUGAAGAGCGCCAAGAUGAGCAUGGCUUUAUCGCGCGCGAGUUCACACGACGGAUUGCUUUGCCUGACGAUGUCGAUCAAUUCACCAUAACCUCAUCCAUGAGUCCCGAUGGCGUGCUUAUUAUGAAGGCACCCAGGAAACCACCACCCAGACCCACAGAGGUUGUGAUUCCCAUCAUCCACGAAUGAUCGCAAUAUCUUUGAUCCAUGCUGCCAGCGUUUCAACAACCAUACUGAGGAGACUGAAAGUGAAUGAGGUGUUUGAUGGUUUCGAUGACAUCAGCCGACAAUAAAAUUUGGAGACCCCCUCGCACCGCUCAAAAGCUGUGUUUUAGGUGCAAUUAUAAGAAAACAUUUGUUUUGAAGCCCGAAAUUUUUGAAUAAAAACUCUUACGCCUA
rnacentral:misc_RNA from 1 species